rnacentral:rRNA from 1 species
AUUGAACGCUGGCGGCAUGCCUUACACAUGCAAGUCGAACGGUAACGGGCCUUUGGGUGCCGACGAGUGGCGAACGGGUGAGUAAUGUAUCGGAACGUACCUUUCAGUGGGGGAUAACGUAGCGAAAGUUACGCUAAUACCGCAUAUUCUGUGAGCAGGAAAGCAGGGGAUCGCAAGACCUUGCGCUGAUUGAGCGGCCGAUAUCAGAGUAGCUAGUUGGUGAGGUAAAGGCUCACCAAGGCGACGAUCUGUAGCGGGUCUGAGAGGAUGAUCCGCCACACUGGAACUGAGACACGGUCCAGACUCCUACGGGAGGCAGCAGUGGGGAAUUUUGGACAAUGGGGGCAACCCUGAUCCAGCCAUGCCGCGUGAGUGAAGAAGGCCUUCGGGUUGUAAAGCUCUUUCGGCCGGGAAGAAAUCGUAUGGGUUAAUACCCUGUGCGGAUGACGGUACCGGCAUAAGAAGCACCGGCUAACUACGUGCCAGCCGCCGCCGUAAUAC